GAUGAACGCUGGCGGCGUGCCUAAUACAUGCAAGUCGAGCGAACAGACGAGGAGCUUGCUCCUCUGACGUUAGCGGCGGACGGGUGAGUAACACGUGGAUAACCUACCUAUAAGACUGGGAUAACUUCGGGAAACCGGAGCUAAUACCGGAUAACAUGUUGAACCGCAUGGUUCAAUAGUGAAAGACGGUCUUGCUGUCACUUAUAGAUGGAUCCGCGCCGCAUUAGCUAGUUGGUAAGGUAACGGCUUACCAAGGCAACGAUGCGUAGCCGACCUGAGAGGGUGAUCGGCCACACUGGAACUGAGACACGGUCCAGACUCCUACGGGAGGCAGCAGUAGGGAAUCUUCCGCAAUGGGCGAAAGCCUGACGGAGCAACGCCGCGUGAGUGAAGAAGGUCUUCGGAUCGUAAAACUCUGUUAUUAGGGAAGAACAAAUGUGUAAGUAACUAUGCACGUCUUGACGGUACCUAAUCAGAAAGCCACGGCUAACUACGUG
rnacentral:rRNA from 1 species